GACGAACGCUGGCGGCGUGCUUAACACAUGCAAGUCGAACGAUGAAGCCGGAGCUUGCUCUGGUGAAUUAGUGGCGAACGGGUGAGUAACACGUGAGUAACCUGCCCUUGACUCUGGGAUAACUGCUAGAAAUGGUAGCUAAUACCGGAUACGACCCUCGGAGGCAUCUCCAGGGGGUGGAAAGAAUUUCGGUCAAGGAUGGACUCGCGGCCUAUCAGCUAGUUGGUGAGGUAACGGCUCACCAAGGCGACGACGGGUAGCCGGCCUGAGAGGGUGACCGGCCACACUGGGACUGGGACACGGCUCAGACUCCUACGGGAGGCAGCAGUGGGGAAUAUUGCACAAUGGGCGCAAGCCUGAUGCAGCAACGCCGCGUGAGGGAUGACGGCCUUCGGGUUGUAAACCUCUUUUAGUAGGGAAGAAGCGAAAGUGACGGUACCUGCAGAAAAAGCACCGGCUAACUACGUGCCAGCAGCCGCCGCAG
rnacentral:rRNA from 1 species